rnacentral:rRNA from 1 species
GGUUAAGCGACUAAGCGUACACGGUGGAUGCCCUGGCAGUCAGAGGCGAUGAAGGACGUGCUAAUCUGCGAUAAGCGUCGGUAAGGUGAUAUGAACCGUUAUAACCGGCGAUUUCCGAAUGGGGAAACCCAGUGUGUUUCGACACACUAUCAUUACGUGAAUACAUAGCGUAAUGAAGCGAACCGGGGGAACUGAAACAUCUAAGUACCCCGAGGAAAAGAAAUCAACCGAGAUUCCCCCAGUAGCGGCGAGCGAACGGGGAGCAGCCCAGAGUCUGAAUCAGCUUGUGUGUUAGUGGAACGGUCUGGAAAGUCCGACGGUACAGGGUGAUAGUCCCGUACACCAAAAUGCACAGGUUGUGAACUCGAAGAGUAGGGCGGGACACGUGGUAUCCUGUCUGAAUAUGGGGGGACCAUCCUCCAAGGCUAAAUACUCCUGACUGACCGAUAGUGAACCAGUACCGUGAGGGAAAGGCGAAAAGAACCCCGGCGAGGGGAGUGAAAAAGAACCUGAAACCGUGUACGUACAAGCAGUGGGAGCCUACUUGUUAGGUGACUGCGUACCUUUUGUAUAAUGGGUCAGCGACUUAUAUUCUGUAGCAAGGUUAACCGUAUAGGGGAGCCGAAGGGAAACCGAGUCUUAACUGGGCGUUAAGUUGCAGGGUAUAGACCCGAAACCCGGUGAUCUAGCCAUGGGCAGGUUGAAGGUUGGGUAACACUAACUGGAGGACCGAACCGACUAAUGUUGAAAAAUUAGCGGAUGACUUGUGGCUGGGGGUGAAAGGCCAAUCAAACCGGGAGAUAGCUGGUUCUCCCCGAAAGCUAUUUAGGUAGCGCCUCGUGAAUUCAUCUUCGGGGGUAGAGCACUGUUUCGGCUAGGGGGUCAUCCCGACUUACCAACCCGAUGCAAACUGCGAAUACCGAAGAAUGUUAUCACGGGAGACACACGGCGGGUGCUAACGUCCGUCGUGAAGAGGGAAACAACCCAGACCGCCAGCUAAGGUCCCAAAGUCAUGGUUAAGUGGGAAACGAUGUGGGAAGGCACAGACAGCCAGGAUGUUGGCUUAGAAGCAGCCAUCAUUUAAAGAAAGCGUAAUAGCUCACUGGUCGAGUCGGCCUGCGCGGAAGAUGUAACGGGGCUAAACCAUGCACCGAAGCUGCGGCAGCGACACUAUGUGUUGUUGGGUAGGGGAGCGUUCUGUAAGCCGUUGAAGGUGUGCUGUGAGGCAUGCUGGAGGUAUCAGAAGUGCGAAUGCUGACAUAAGUAACGAUAAUGCGGGUGAAAAACCCGCACGCCGGAAGACCAAGGGUUCCUGUCCAACGUUAAUCGGGGCAGGGUGAGUCGACCCCUAAGGCGAGGCCGAAAGGCGUAGUCGAUGGGAAACAGGUUAAUAUUCCUGUACUUGGUGUUACUGCGAAGGGGGGACGGAGAAGGCUAUGUUAGCCGGGCGACGGUUGUCCCGGUUUAAGCAUGUAGGCGGAGGUUCCAGGUAAAUCCGGUACCUUUUUAACGCUGAGGUGUGAUGACGAGGCACUACGGUGCUGAAGUAACAAAUGCCCUGCUUCCAGGAAAAGCCUCUAAGCAUCAGGUAACACGAAAUCGUACCCCAAACCGACACAGGUGGUCAGGUAGAGAAUACCAAGGCGCUUGAGAGAACUCGGGUGAAGGAACUAGGCAAAAUGGUGCCGUAACUUCGGGAGAAGGCACGCUGAUAUGUAGGUGAAGUGAUUUACUCAUGGAGCUGAAAUCAGUCGAAGAUACCAGCUGGCUGCAACUGUUUAUUAAAAACACAGCACUGUGCAAACACGAAAGUGGACGUAUACGGUGUGACGCCUGCCCGGUGCCGGAAGGUUAAUUGAUGGGGUUAUCCGUAAGGAGAAGCUCUUGAUCGAAGCCCCGGUAAACGGCGGCCGUAACUAUAACGGUCCUAAGGUAGCGAAAUUCCUUGUCGGGUAAGUUCCGACCUGCACGAAUGGCGUAAUGAUGGCCAGGCUGUCUCCACCCGAGACUCAGUGAAAUUGAACUCGCUGUGAAGAUGCAGUGUACCCGCGGCAAGACGGAAAGACCCCGUGAACCUUUACUAUAGCUUGACACUGAACACUGGUCCUUGAUGUGUAGGAUAGGUGGGAGGCUUUGAAGUGUGGACGCCAGUCUGCAUGGAGCCAUCCUUGAAAUACCACCCUUUAAUGGCUGGUGUUCUAACGU